UUGAACGCUGGCGGCAGGCCUAACACAUGCAAGUCGAACGGUAACAGGAAACAGCUUGCUGUUUCGCUGACGAGUGGCGGACGGGUGAGUAAUGUCUGGGAAACUGCCUGAUGGAGGGGGAUAACUACUGGAAACGGUAGCUAAUACCGCAUAACGUCGCAAGACCAAAGAGGGGGACCUUCGGGCCUCUUGCCAUCGGAUGUGCCCAGAUGGGAUUAGCUAGUAGGUGGGGUAACGGCUCACCUAGGCGACGAUCCCUAGCUGGUCUGAGAGGAUGACCAGCCACACUGGAACUGAGACACGGUCCAGACUCCUACGGGAGGCAGCAGUGGGGAAUAUUGCACAAUGGGCGCAGGCCUGAUGCAGCCAUGCCGCGUGUAUGAAGAAGGCCUUCGGGUUGUAAAGUACUUUCAGCGGGGAGGAAGGGAGUAAAGUUAAUACCUUUACUCAUUGACGUUACCCGCAGAAGAAGCACCGGCUAACUCCGUG
rnacentral:rRNA from 1 species